UACGAAGGGGCUAGCGUUGCUCGGAUUGACUGGGCGUAAAGGGCGCGUAGGCGGUUCGUACAGUCAGACGUGAAAUUCCUGGGCUCAACCUGGGGCUGCGUUUGAUACGUGCGGACUUGAGUGCGGAAGAGGGUCGUGGAAUUCCAGUGUAGAGGUGAAAUUCGUAGAUAUUGGGAAGAACACCGGUGGCGAAGGCGGCGACCUGGUCCGAUACUGACGCUGAGCGCGAAAGCGUGGGGAGCAAACAGG
rnacentral:rRNA from 1 species